rnacentral:rRNA from 1 species
UACGUAGGGGCCUAGCGUUGUCCGGAUUUAUUGGGCGUAAAGAGCUCGUAGGCGGUUUGGUGAGUCGGGUGUGAAAUCUCCACGCUCAACGUGGAGGGGCCACCCGAUACUGCCAUGACUAGAGUCCGGUAGGGGAGUGUGGAAUUCCCGGUGUAGCGGUGAAAUGCGCAGAUAUCAGGAAGAACACCCGUGGCGAAGGCGGCUCUCUGGGACGGUACUGACGCUGAGACGCGAAAGCGUGGGGAGCGAACAGG